AUUCAUAUUUUUAGACUUGUCCAGUAAACAUCUCAAUAUAAUUUUUGUACUUUUGUGAUUUUUCGGAAAUGUUGAAGUGUUUCCUGUAACGAGAGAACUUAAUUGGAAACAAAUUUCACAAGAUUUCUGAAAAACGAUAAAGUCAUCUCAAUUUGUACCUAUUUCUGUGAAGAACAAACUCUACUUCUAUUCCUUUUAACAUGUGCUACCCGUGCUACUCGUGCUGUGGACCCUGCGGACCCUGUGGAUCCUGGUGUGGACCAUGUGGAGGUUGUGGACCAUGUGGUGGCUGUGGACCAUGUGGUGGCUGUGGACCAUGUGGUGGCUGUGGACCUUGUGGUGGCUGUGGACCAUGCUGUGGAGGCUGUGGACCGUGCUGUUAGCAUCUUCAGAACGAUCUAGAUACACCACAAAUAGUAGUACAUAUAAAAUAACAAUUUUGUAAAUUUAUAUAUGUAUCAUUAAAUGCUAUCAA